rnacentral:rRNA from 1 species
CAGUCGCCACGGUAAUACGAAGGGGGCUAGCGUUGUUCGGAAUUACUGGGCGUAAAGGGCGCGUAGGCGGCCAUUCAAGUUAGAUGUGAAAGCCCUGGGCUCAACCUAGGAAUUGCAUUUGAUACUGUUUGGCUUGAGUUCGGGAGAGGUGAGUGGAAUUCCCAGUGUAGAGGUGAAAUUCGUAGAUAUUGGGAAGAACACCAGUGGCGAAGGCGGCUCACUGGACCGACACUGACGCUGAGGCGCGAAAGCGUGGGGAGCAAACAGGAUUAGAUACCCCUGUAGUCCCUGUCUCUUAUAA